GGGUUGGAGUCGGUUGUUAAUGCAGAAUAAGCAGUCUGGCUUUGCAGCAGCAGCAUCACCACAACCGCCACCACCGGCUCCCUGGAUUAAAGCCAGCAACGUACAGAAUUAGCUCAUUGUUCAAUGCACUCCAACUACGGGCACUAGGGUAGACAGUAAACCUGAUUUUUUUUUUUUUUGUAGCUUUUCAAAAAGCUGACUGUACUUCGUUUUGGAGUUCAGUGAUUAUUGUACAUUUGAAAAAGGAAAUGCUCCCUAGUAGGGAGCAGAAUGCAAAGCUGCAUGUAGAUCGAAAGAGGUGCGGGCAGAGAGAGGGCUUUGUCUUGCAAUUUUCUCCGCCUUGGGAACCGUGGAGAUCUGUCUGUGGUCCCGCCUCUGCCAGAAAAGCAUGCAGAUAAAGGCUUGGCAGAGUUUUGACAGGGUGUCGGCCAUCUCAUCUGGAGACUGCUGAAGAGCAGAUACAAGGAUGGAAGUGUUCUUUCGGGAAUACUUCCGACCAUCCACCAGGAAAAAAGAUGGCUUCAAGUUGAGGAACAGUAAAACUGAAGUCUUGCUCAUGACUCCUUCAAUGGAUGCAGAUUUAUAUUUUGCUGAAAGAAGAUGGAGUCCCUCAUCUUUCAAUCAUUUUUCUUCCAUGGGUUUUGAGGUGGCACGCUUACAAAUAUGGUUUUGUUCAUUUUU